rnacentral:rRNA from 1 species
AUUGAACGCUGGCGGCAUGCCUUACACAUGCAAGUCGAACGGUAACGCAGGGCAACCUGGCGACGAGUGGCGAACGGGUGAGUAAUGUAUCGGAACGUGCCCAGUUGUGGGGGAUAACUGCUCGAAAGAGCAGCUAAUACCGCAUACGACCUGAGGGUGAAAGCGGGGGAUCGCAAGACCUCGCGCAAUUGGAGCGGCCGAUAUCAGAUUAGGUAGUUGGUGGGGUAAAGGCUCACCAAGCCAACGAUCUGUAGCUGGUCUGAGAGGACGACCAGCCACACUGGGACUGAGACACGGCCCAGACUCCUACGGGAGGCAGCGGUGGGGAAUUUUGGACAAUGGACGCAAGUCUGAUCCAGCCAUGCCGCGUGCGGGAAGAAGGCCUUCGGGUUGUAAACCGCUUUUGUCAGGGAAGAAACGCUCUGGGUUAAUACCUCGGGGUAAUGACGGUACCUGAAGAAUAAGCACCGGCUAACUACGUGCCAGCAGCCGCCGUAAGAC